CCCCUCUCAGGAUGGCACCUGGAGAUUUUCCAGUACUCUGCCAGUCUCUGCUGCCGGAAGGAGAGUCAAGCAGAGGCUUACCCAUUCCAUUCCUAGCUUGGGCCGUGGCUAGCCAGUGGAAGCCGGUCUGCUACAAGU